GAUGAACGCUGGCGGUAUGCUUAACACAUGCAAGUCGAACGGACUCUUCGGAGUUAGUGGCGGACGGGUGAGUAACGCGUGAGAAUCUGGCUUUGGGUUCGGGACAACCACUGGAAACGGUGGCUAAUACCGGAUGUGCCGAGAGGUAAAAGAGAAAUUGCCUGAAGAUGAGCUCGCGUCUGAUUAGCUAGUUGGUGAGGUAAAGGCUCACCAAGGCAGCGAUCAGUAGCUGGUCUGAGAGGAUGACCAGCCACACUGGGACUGAGACACGGCCCAGACUCCUACGGGAGGCAGCAGUGGGGAAUUUUCCGCAAUGGGCGAAAGCCUGACGGAGCACUACCGCGUGAGGGAAGAAGGCUCUUGGGUUGUAAACCUCUUUUCUUAGGGAAGAACAAAAUGACGGUACCUAAGGAAUCAGCAUCGGCUAACUCCGUG
rnacentral:rRNA from 1 species